GGGGAGCGAGACCUGCCCCGCAUCCUUGACCCGCUUGCGCCCGCACCAGCUGUCGGAUCCAAAGCGGGCCGAUCGUGCGCGGGUGUGCUGACAUGGAAUUUCACCAUGAAAUUAAAUCCUGAACUGGUUUCCUCGUAGGGUUAUCAAUUGCCUGAAGACAAAAUGACUUCAUGAGAUGUUAUUUACCUGCUGAUAUUAUUUACCUCCAUGCCAUGAAAAACUUCAGCUGCUCAUUUUCAUAUAUUUGGCUUCAUUAAAGAGAGAAGAUUUUU